rnacentral:rRNA from 1 species
UUAAUAAGCGGAGGAAAAGAAACUAACAAGGAUUCCCUCAGUAACGGCGAGUGAAGCGGGAAGAGCUCAAAUUUGAAAUCUCCGAUGCUUGCAUCGGCGAGUUGUAGUUGCGAGAAGCACUUUCUAGGUGGAUCGGCGGUGCCUAAGUUGCUUGGAACAGCACGUCGCAGAGGGUGACAACCCCGUCUGUGGCGCCGCCGGCCGCCGACGAUGUGCUUUCGAAGAGUCGGGUUGUUUGGGAAUGCAGCCCAAAACGGGUGGUAGACUCCAUCUAAAGCUAAAUACUGGCGUGAGACCGAUAGCGA